rnacentral:rRNA from 1 species
AGUGUCUGGUGGGUAGUUUGACUGGGGCGGUCUCCUCCUAAAGCGUAACGGAGGAGCACGAAGGUUGGCUAAUCCUGGUCGGACAUCAGGAGGUUAGUGCAAUGGCAUAAGCCAGCUUGACUGCGAGCGUGACGGCGCGAGCAGGUGCGAAAGCAGGUCAUAGUGAUCCGGUGGUUCUGAAUGGAAGGGCCAUCGCUCAACGGAUAAAAGGUACUCCGGGGAUAACAGGCUGAUACCGCCCAAGAGUUCAUAUCGACGGCGGUGUUUGGCACCUCGAUGUCGGCUCAUCACAUCCUGGGGCUGAAGUAGGUCCCAAGGGUAUGGCUGUUCGCCAUUUAAAGUGGUACGCGAGCUGGGUUUAGAACGUCGUGAGACAGUUCGGUCCCUAUCUGCCGUGGGCGCUGGAGAACUGAGGGGGGCUGCUCCUAGUACGAGAGGACCGGAGUGGACGCAUCACUGGUGUUCGGGUUGUCAUGCCAAUGGCACUGCCCGGUAGCUAAAUGCGGAAGAGAUAAGUGCUGAAAGCAUCUAAGCACGAAACUUGCCCCGAGAUGAGUUCUCCCUGAGACUACAAGUCUCCUGAAGGAACGUUGAAGACGACGACGUUGAUAGGCCGGGUGUGUAAGCGCAGCGAUGCGUUGAGCUAACCGGUACUAAUGAACCGUGAGG